AUAUACAUGUAUAUUUUUGAUAUAUAUUCCAUUUUUUAAAUUAGUAUUUAAACGAAAGCUCUUUUAAGAUAGAUAAGAUUAAUUUAUAACUUAGCUGUAAAUUUUUACAUUAUAGAAUUAUUCAUAAAUUUCUGACUAACAGAUUAUUAAGUUUUAGGUUCUGAAAACUUAUGAUUCGAUUCUGUUAUUAUGAAGUAAUGAUGUCACUGCCACAAUACUUAGAUAACAUAACUGUCACUUAGAUAACAUUUUAUGUUUCGCACGUUUACACAUUAAAGUUCAUGCUAAGAAUUGCAUGAUCAGCUUGAAUAAAUUGGAAUCAAGACUAUUUUCAUUUUUAAGAUAUUUUCCUCACAAUUGGCUAAGUCUUACUGAAAAUUUAAGAAUGUGAUUAUUUGUUACUUAUGAUGUGUUAAAUAUAUUCAGUUAUUUAAAACUAUUUUUAAAAUUUUGUUUAAUAAUUGAACAAUCUUUACACUUUAAAUCUUAAGUUAAGUUUCAAUUGUUCGAAUUUUUACUUUUGAGUAUCAAGAAUUAAUCAAUCACUUCGAAUUUUUACUUUUUUUAUAAAAUAAUUCCAGGCAGAAUCGUGUCUGGAAUGAUUUAAGCGUACAAACAAACAUUCUGUAAAAUCUCUUAUCACUAACUGCCACGUGGAGGGGGAAUACGUUGAUUGUGCAAUUGUUGCAUGAUUAUUCCAUAUAUUUGAUCGCAAAUCUCUCAUAUGUCUGCGUGUCGUAGAUUUGGUAAAAUACGUGUUCUGCAACAUUUGAUUUAGAUAUGUAUACACGAAGACGAUUUCUUAGUGCGACUGUGCAUUUUCAUUUGAAGGUUUCUUUACUCUAGCUAUCAUUAUUGGUAACGAUGUCUUUAAUUACAUACAUAUAUGUCAAUAUUCUGUCAGUGUGAGCAGUGCAGCAAUUGAUGUGCUAAUUCAAACAAAUUAAUAUGUUGCCUAAUUGAUACAUUAAAUGUUUGUUUAAGAAAAUGCGUAUUUUUUACAUCAAUGAACUGAAAUACUGGAUUGAAUAAUAAGUUUGAACGUGCAGCCUGUAAUCUUUUUACUAAUGUGUAUCGAUAAACGAUUUUAAAUUUGCAAAUUUGUGUACAUCUACCGCCUUCUUAAGAUAUACGAUCUGUGUGUCACGUGCCUAUGCAGCUCGAACUUAUAUAAACACAUGCGCACGCACGCGCGCGAUUAAUCCGAUAUUGUAUAUCGUCUACGACGUUUGCCGCUACACCUGGAAUGCUGCUAAAUUUACAAGAUAUUUUGGAGAUUUGGUGAUUUGCGCAUAUUUUCCAGUGUGCAAAAUGAACAUAAUAUUAAAUUCACUUGUUGAAGUUGUUGAUUAUUUUUUAAAACACUUUGGAAAACUUUGGUACCUUGUCGGUCCAAAGGAGACAACCUUCGAGUUUCUACACGAGGUACCGGACUAUCAACAACAGAUAUGGAUGCCGUUUUUUCUACUAUUAAUUCUGGAACAAUUAAUAUUAAGAAAAAAAGGAUUUCGUUUAAAUGAUCAAGUAACAUCGUUAUCUCACUGGAUACUCCACGAAACUAUCCGGUAAGAGUAAGUUACAGUCUGUCCUUUAUUCUAUAUUUAAAAAAAGAUACAUUGUGAAUAUUGUCCAUAAAAUAAGAUCAAUUUUGUUUUGAGUGAGAUAUAUAAAUAUGAUGAAUUCAAUCGUGCCGCUUUAAUCCGGCCUUUUGGCAGGGUAACAUCUUAAACUCUAUUAAAUUUUUUCAAAAGCA
rnacentral:misc_RNA from 1 species